rnacentral:rRNA from 1 species
AUACGGAGGAUGCGAGCGUUAUCCGGAUUUAUUGGGUUUAAAGGGUGCGUAGGCGGUUUGCUAAGCGGGAGGUGAAAUGCCGGCGCUCAACGUCGGAAGUGCCUCCCGAACUGGUGGACUUGAAUGACUCUGCCGUGGGAGGAAUGUGUAGUGUAGCGGUGAGAUGCUUAGAGAUUACACAGAACACCGAUUGCGAAGGCAUCUCACGAAGGGUUGAUUGACGCUGAGGCACGAAAGCGUGGGGAUCAAACAGGAUUAGAUACCCUGGUAGUCCACGCAGUAAACGAUGAUGGCUAACCGCUGGGCUUAUCAGUUCAGUGGCCAAGCGAAAGCGAUAAGCCAUCCACCUGGGGAGUACGACCGCAAGGUUGAAACUCAAAUGAAUUGACGGGG